UAUGUGAUCGUCUCUCGCAUAUCAAUAAGCGGAGGAAAAGAAACUAACAAGGAUUCCCCUAGUAACGGCGAGUGAAGCGGGAAGAGCUCAAAUUUGAAAUCUUAAAGGGUUUCCCUUUACGAAUUGUAGUUUAAAGAGGUGCUUUCUGUUGAGGUUUUGGUAAAAGUUCUUUGGAAUAGGACAUCAUAGAGGGUGAGAAUCUCGUAUUUGACCUUUACUUUCAACUUUGUGAUAGCACUUUCAAAGAGUCGGAUUGUUUGGGAAUGCAGUCCAAAAUGGGUGGUAAAUUUCAUCUAAAGCUAAAUAUUGGCGAGAGACCGAUAGCGAACAAGUACCGUGAGGGAAAGAUGAAAAGAACUUUGAAAAGAGAGUUAAACAGUACGUGAAAUUGUCAAAAGGGAAGCGUUUGACACCAGUGUUGUUUUUCUGAAAAUCAAUUAAAGAACUGUUUAUGCUAAGUUGUUUAGACUUUAUCAGCUAUCUGUUUAGUUUUGAGCUUUUCUUUAAUGCACUUUUCAGUUAACAAGUCAACAUCAAUUUCUUUUGCUGUAAAAAAGCUUGAGGAAGGUGGCUUGAGAUUCGUCUUAAGUGUUUAUAGCCUCUUGCCUAUGCAGUCGGAGAGAUUGAGGUCUGCAGCGUAGAUCCUUCGGGGCUAAAUGCAUUUGUGCUAAGUUAUAGCAUUUUAUAGACAACUUGUUGACUAUGAUUUGUCUUGUAGCUUACUCGCUUAUGUUAUUUUACCUACGCUUAGGAUGUUGAUCUACAGAGCGAGAGU
rnacentral:rRNA from 1 species